rnacentral:rRNA from 1 species
UACGAAGGGGGCUAGCGUUGCUCGGAAUUACUGGGCGUAAAGGGCGCGUAGGCGGACAGUUUAGUCAGAGGUGAAAGCCCAGGGCUCAACCUUGGAACUGCCUUUGAUACUGGCUGUCUUGAGUAGGGGAGAGGUGUGUGGAACUCCGAGUGUAGAGGUGAAAUUCGUAGAUAUUCGGAAGAACACCAGUGGCGAAGGCGACACACUGGCCCAUUACUGACGCUGAGGCGCGAAAGCGUGGGGAGCAAACAGG